AUCACUCACCUGUCCCAAGAGACACACCACCACCAGGUGAUUUCUGGAAAAUCCUGCUGGCUCAGCUCCUCUGUGAUCUUGCUGACUUUCCACAGCAUGGCCUGAGGCCCAUAGCACGCUCAGAGCCCGCAGUCCUCCCUGAGCCUGGCCAGCUAGCGGCAGGGCCUUGUGGCCUGAUGCAAAUGCUACCACUACCCAAAGGCCAUUUAUGAGACUCUCCAAGCAGCUGCCUCUAAAGGCCAUCCUACCAGCAUUUAAAUGACCCUCAUACAAGUUUUCUUCAUCUCGGGGCUCUCCUACCAGCUCCUGCUGCCUUUUUUUUUUUUUUUCUGGCAAACAUAUUCUUCUGUGACUUUCUCUUGAUUGACAUGGGGUGAUGGGAUGUUUCUAUGCUCCUAUUUGGGUAUUUUUAGAAGCUGACUGACUGACCUGCUCCUCCUUCCUAGAAUGGUUUAGUUUUUUGUGUCACUUGGUAGAGACACUGCAGGGCACUGUGUGGCAUCUGCCUGGUCUGUUUGUCAAACACCGGCUCAGGGUCGCAGCUGUCAAGUCUGGAGGGCCCAGAGCACAGGCAGCCUUUUCCUGCAGCCCAGAUGAGUUGACAUGGGACCUGGGCUCUCGCCGGGCUCAGCCCACACCUCUCAGAACAGAAGGCAGUUGGAGGAGUGGAAUAGCGGACUGAAAUGUUAAAUCAGGGAGCCCAGAGGUUCUCUACCAAAAAAUUCACGCACCCUGAUUCCCACUUCCACUUAGAAACAAUUCUGCUUAGUCCCGUCUUUCAAGCCCACUGAGCACCACCUAUGAAUUAUCAGGGGCACCAGGCAGAUGAGCGACUCUUUCUGUCCACUUCAACAUGCUCUCUGACCCAGCCCUGGCUGGAGUGAAAUUUUUAAAUGAUUUUUUCAUUUGCAUAUUUCCAUAUGGACUAUGAGAUUCCUGAAAAUGCCUAUGCUUAAAAUAAUGAAAAUAAAUAAUUAAAAAUAAUUAAAAUGCUUCAACCUUC
rnacentral:lncRNA from 1 species